UACGAAGGGGGCUAGCGUUGUUCGGAAUUACUGGGCGUAAAGCGCGUGUAGGCGGCUAAGUAAGUCGGGCGUGAAAUCCCACGGCUCAACCGUGGAAGUGCACUUCGAAACUGCAUGCGCUAGAGUCCUGGAGAGGAAGGUGGAAUGCUUGGUGUAGAGGUGAAAUUCGUAGAUAUCAAGCGGAACACCGGUGGCGAAGGCGGCCUUCUGGACAGUGACUGACGCUGAGACGGCGAAAAGCGUGGGGAGCAAACAGGG
rnacentral:rRNA from 1 species